AGCGAACGCUGGCGGCAGGCUUAACACAUGCAAGUCGAGCGGGCACUCCCGGGUGUCAGCGGCGGACGGGUGAGUAACGCGUGGGAACGUGCCCUCUUGUUCGGAAUAACUCAGGGAAACAUGUGCUAAUACCGGAUACGCCCUUCUGGGGGAAGGCGCGCCGGCGGGGGAUCGGCUCGCGUCUGAUUAGCUAGUUGGUGGGGUACCGGGACACCCAGGCGACGAUCAGUAGCUGGGCUGAGCGGCUGAUCAGCCACACUGGGGCUGGGACACGGCCCAGACUGCUACGGGAGGCAGGAGUGGAGAAUAUUGGAGGCGGGGCGCAGGCCUGAUCCAGCCAUGCCGCGUGAGUGAUGAAGGGGUUAGGGUUGUAAAGCUGUUUUAUCCGAGACGAUAAUGACGGUACCGGAGGAAUAAGCCCCGGCUAACUUCGUG
rnacentral:rRNA from 1 species